AAACUGUAAGAGGGGGAUGGGUGUAGAAACAGCUGUUCUGGAGCUCCAGGGAAGGCUGAUGACAGCAGGAAGGAAAGAGCACACAGCACGGCAGGAGCAGAGAGUCAGUUUCCAUGAUGAAUUUGAGGACGAAGAGCAACUUUUUUGGCAAGAAGUUCACUGUCCUGGUAAACACGAUAAAGGAGGCCUCAUGAGAAGAUCUGGCUCUGACUGUCCCGAGGACACUAGAUUCACCAGGAGCACCCUGUCAGCGUGGCUCCACCAUGGAGGGUAACAACCCAAACAUGUAACACACCUGGGUCCUCUGGCUACAGAUAAGCAUAGAAUAAAAGUAG
rnacentral:lncRNA from 1 species